CCGUGGUGGGCUUGUGUGUGUGUGUGUGGUUCCCGCCACCACUACGGUGUGUGAAGAUGGCCACUCUCCAGCCCAAGGAACAGCUCGCCCUCGAUGGGGCCAGCGAGCAGGGCUUCCUCGCCUUCCACCGCGGCCUGCCUGAGAAACCAAACACUACGGUAAGAGUGUUCGACCGUGGGGAAUACUACACUGUGCAUGGCCAGGAUGCCCUGCUGGCUGCACGAGACCUCUUCCGCACCAAUUCUGUGGUCAAACACUUGGGUUCAGGCAACAAGAAGUUGGAAUCUGUAGUGCUGAGUCGACUGAACUUUGAGUCAUUUGUGCGGGAUCUUUUGCUGGUCAAGCACUACAGAGUGGAAGUGUAUAAACAGAAGAGCUCGGCAAAAAGUGACUGGGAGGUUGAAUAUAAGGCUUCUCCGGGUAACUUGAGUCAGUUUGAAGAAGUGCUGUUUGGGGCUAACAAUGAGCUUACAGUUACAACAGGUGUCAUGGCUGUCAAGCUAGCCACUGAAAAUGGCCAGAGAGUUGUGGGAGUUGGGUAUGUGGACGUGUCAGGCCGGCUAAUGACUGUGUCGGAGUUCAAUGACAAUGACACAUUCAGUAACCUGGAGGCUCUGGUAGUGCAACUGGGGCCUCGGGAGUGUCUUAUUCCUUUGGGGGAUAUGGGCCCAGAUGGCACAAAGCUCAAGCAGGUGUUGUCUCGAAAUCCAUUGCUUGUUACUGAAAGGAAGAAAGCAGAGUUCAACAAUAAAGAUGCCACUCAGGACUUAAACCGCCUCUUACAUACAAAGGGUGGAGAUGCGUCGACUACUUCGGCACGUCCAGAAAUGGAUCGUACUAGUGCCAUUGCUGCGCUGGCUGCUGUCAUAAAGUACCUUGAGCUCCUUGGGGACGAGUCAAACUUUGGCCAGUUUACAAUGUCCUUGUAUGACCUGAGUCAGUAUAUGCGACUCGACAGUGCAGCAGUUCGGGCAUUGCACGUGGAACCCCUUGGGAGUGGGGAACUGUCUGGUGCUGCUGCUAAAACACACACCAUUCUUGGUCUUCUGGAUAAGUGUCGCACUCCGCUUGGUCAUCGCCUGCUCUUACAGUGGCUUAGACAGCCAUUGGUAGACAUCAACAAGAUUGAAGAACGACAGGACUUGGUUGAGGCCGUAGUUUCAUCAGUAGAGCUGCGUCACAGUCUUGGGGAAGAGCAUCUUCGUCGUAUUCCUGACCUGAAUCGCCUGGCUCGGAAACUGGCACGCAAAGCGGCCACACUCCAAGACUGUUACAAAUUUUAUCAGUGUGUUGAUCGAUUGCCAAAUUUGUGUGAAGCUAUAGCCAAGUAUGAAGGGCCUCACAUAGCCUCCCUGGCAGCAGUCUUCACAACUCCUCUUCAGGAGCUGCUGUCAGACCUGUCAAAGUUUCAAGAAAUGAUAGAGACUACUGUAGAUAUGGAACAAGCCGGUCAGGGAGACUAUGUCAUCAAGCCAGAUUUUGACGAGACACUAGGAGACCUGCGAGAAACGAUGAAUGGCUUGGAAACAGAUAUUCAAAAUCAGUUGAAAAAGGUGGCAAAUGAUCUUGGUCUUGAUGCCGGAAAAAGUGUCAAAUUGGAGUCCAAUGCUCAGCUUGGCUACUUUUUCAGAGUCACGCUUAAGGAAGAAAAAGUGCUGCGUAACAAUAGGAACUACCGGAUGAUUGACACCAACAAAGCUGGAGUACGAUUCAGAAACGGUGCCCUUCAAGAUCUGAAUGAUCAGCACAUGGCUUCACGAGAGGAGUACAAUGAACAGCAAAAAACUGUUGUUGACGAGAUCAUGAAUAUUGCAGCUGGUUAUGUUGAAGUGAUACAAAAUCUAGGUCAUGUGCUGGCUACUUUAGACUGUAUUUAUGCCUUGGCCUCUGCUGCGGUAUCUGCACCCAUUCCUUACAUACGACCCAAACUCCUGGCUAGGGGAUCUGGUGUACUAAAGCUGGAAGGUAUUCGUCAUCCAUGUUUAGAACUACAAGAUGAUGUCUCAUUUAUAGCAAAUGACUGUAAUUUUGAUAAAGAUAAUGGAAUGUUCCACAUUAUCACCGGCCCAAACAUGGGAGGUAAGAGUACUUACCUGAGAUCAGUUGGAGCAGCUGUGUUGAUGGCUCAAGUCGGCUCAUUUGUUGCCUGUCAAGAGGCAGAAAUGUCUAUUGUUGAUAGUAUCCUGGCUCGUGUGGGUGCUGGAGACUGCCAGUUGAAAGGGGUUUCAACUUUCAUGGCAGAAAUGUUAGAGACCGCUUCCAUUCUUCGGUCUGCAAGCAACGAGUCCCUCAUCAUUAUUGAUGAACUCGGCCGUGGAACUUCAACAUACGAUGGGUUUGGAUUAGCAUGGGCGAUAUCGGAGCAUAUAGCUAAGGAGAUUGGGUCAUUUUGCUUGUUUGCGACACAUUUUCAUGAACUGACAGCACUUAGUGAUGAGGUGGAGACAGUGAAGAACUUCCACGUUACGGCUACCACCGCUCAUGGUGCUCUUACUCUUCUCUAUCAGGUGCAGCCAGGGCCUUGUGAUCGCAGUUUUGGUAUCCAUGUAGCAGAAUUGGCCAAUUUCCCUGCUAGUGUAAUUGAGUAUGCCAAGAGGAAAGCUGGAGAACUGGAAGAUGAUUUUGGUGAUGAUGAUGAUUCUGAGGAAGCUGUCAAAAGGAGGAAGUCAGAGAAGCAGGAGGGUGAGAAGAUAAUAGAGGAAUACCUUGAAAGGGUAUCUUCACUUGACACUGAAAGCAUGACUGAAGAAGAGGUACAUAAAGAAGUCGACGCAAUGCGGCAGGAAAUUUUGGCUCGUAACAAUGCAUACCUGUCCCACCUCUUGAACAGGGAGACUUGAGCAACGUGUAUUCAAUCUUUCUAAACACCAGUAAACACACCCAGAACAUUUUUGCAGCCUUAUCUCUGAAGUGGUUCUUCACGUGGUAUCCUUCAUUAGACAUCACUCCCCAGGAAUUCUCCAGUGGAUGGAGAAACUUCUGAUGAAUGAUCAGAGUCCUGGCUUCUGGAACUGUUGGCAAGGUAUUGCAAGAUUAAUAUCCCCACUCAAUACCACAAGGUCUGUGCCUUUUUUUUUUAAUGAAAUUAGUUAACUGCAAAAUUAUUCUCAAUUUAACUUUAUUUAAUCAGAUCUAUUUUCAGUAAAGGGCAACAAACCUUUAAAUAAUCUAUAAUUACCCCUUUUAUUAGGCAUAUCUCUGAUAUUUGAGCUUUUGUGCACAAUUCUGUAUUUAAAAUGAAUCGUGUGAUUGAAAUCCCAACAAUCAUUAGCAAUGGCAUUAUUCCUAGCAAAUUUUGUUAUGGCUUGUGCACAACAACACAUUUUAAUAACCCACUACUGGUCUCCAACAUAAAUUGCAAUGUUGCAAACACCAUUACCUAUGUAGUUCUUAGUGAUGAUGAUGAACCAUGUAGUUAAUGGUACUUCUGAUAAAUUGCAAGUACUGUACUGCAAAUUAUCACGUUAAAGAGUUUUCGUGGCUUAUUAAAAAGGGUUGACGAAGGCAAGAAGGCAAUAAACAAAUGUUUAUGGGAAUAAUGCCAGUGUUGGCAUUUCAAUCACAGGAUAGAAUUGUAAAACAACAACUCAAAUAUCAGAGAGAUGCCUACUAGAAGGGGGUAAUUAUAGAUUCCAUAGACUGUAAAGGGGAAACAAAUCUUUUAAUAAAAGUACUUGUUCCUUGGUGAAUCGUAUACCUUUGAUCUCUCAUCUUGUGCAUUUUUGUUCUCAUACUUAGUACCUUUGAUUAUCCUGUGACUUUGAUGAUGCUACAAAGUCUCCCCAGCUUGGUGUCUUACUUUGGUAAUUAAUUACUUUACUAAAAGUAAAAGUAAUUAUCAAAGUAAGACACCAAGCUGGGGAGACUUUGUAGCAUCAUCAAAGUCACAGGAUAAUCAAAGGUACUAAGUAUGAGAACAAAAAUGCACAAGAUGAGAGAUAUCAAAGGUAUCUGAUUCACCAAGGAACAAGUACUUUUAAUAAAAGAUUUGUUUCCCCUUUACAGUCUCUGGAAUCUCUAAUUACCCCCCUUCUAGUAGCCAUCUCUGAUAUUUGAGCUGUUGUGUACAAGUCUAUGAUUAAAAUCCAUAGCAAUUAUUGCAAUUUAUCGCAAAUACCAUUUAACUACAUUGUUCUUAAUGGUAAUAAUAAAAACCAUGUAGGUAAUGGUGUUGGAGAGACCAGUCGUGGAUUAUUGAACACAAACCAUAACAAAAUUUGUUAGGAAUAAAGCCAUUGCUAAUGAUUGUUGGGAUUUCAAUUACAGAAUUGAUUUUAAAUAUAGAAUUGUGCACAACUGCUCAAGUAUCAGAGAUGCCUACUAAAAGAAGUAAUUAUAGAUUACUCACAGGUUUGUUGCCCUUUACUGAAAGUAGAUCUGAUAAAUUGAGACUAGUUAAUUUUGCAGUUAAAUUAAGUUUAAUUUCAUUAUAAAAAUAAUAAGCACAGACCUUAUGGUGAUUUUGUCCUCGCAAUACCUUGCCAACAGUUCCCAGAAACCAGGACUCUGAUUAUUCAUCAGAAGUUUCUCCAUCCAUUGCAGAAUGCCUGGGGAGCGACUUCUAAUGAUGGACGCCACACAAGGCUCCUGCAAGACGUAAAUGAAAGCACUUUAUGAAUGAAUCUUUACUUAUAGUACAAUUAUUUUUUAAAGAAUCUAGGUUUGUCUGAAAAAUUCAGUUUGAAUGAAGAAAAUAUGUAUUAUAAAACACUGCAGUAUUGUAGUAAGCUUCUCAACUAAGCACAUUGUGAUUUUUGUAAUAAAAAGUAAAUACAAUAAAUAAA
rnacentral:misc_RNA from 1 species